rnacentral:rRNA from 1 species
CUUAAGCAUAUCAAUAAGCGGAGGAAAAGAAACCAACAGGGAUUGCCUCAGUAACGGCGAGUGAAGCGGCAACAGCCCAGAUUUGAAAUCUGACUUUCGGGUCCGACUUGUAAUCUGCAGAUGAGUCUUUUGGCGGAGCGCCGUCCAAGUUCCCUGGAACGGGACGCCGGAGAGGGUGAGAGCCCCGUACCGACGUGCGCCGAGUCUUUGCAAAGCUCAUUCGAAGAGUCGAGUAGUUUGGAAAUGCUGCUCUAAUUGUGGGGUAAAUCUCCCAUAAGGCUAAAUAUUGGCCAGAGACCGAUAGCGCACAAGUAGCGUGAGCGAAAGAUGAAAAGAGCCUUGAACAAGGGCGUCAAAAAGCAUGUGAAAUUGUUAUGGGGGAAGCGCUCAAUGCCAGACGUGGCGGCGGUUGGUUACCCGGUGUUCUUCGCCGGCGCACUCUUCCGUCGCCAGGCCAGCAUCAGUUCGGACCGGGGCCAAUUCCACUCGGAACGUGGCUCUUCGGAGUGUUAUAGCCUUGUGGCGACGCCCUGGGCCGGACUGAGGAACGCGCAUCUGCCCGGAUGCUGGCGUAAUGGCUUUUAGCGACCCGUCUUGAAACACGGACCAAGGAGUUGACCUAGUAUGCGAGUGUUUGGGUGUCAAGCCCUCACGCGCAGUGAAAGCGAACGCAGGUGGGAGCCUCGGCGCACCAUCGACCGAUCCUGAAGUUUACGGAUGGAUUUGAGUAGGAGCAUACUGGGUCUGACCCGAAAGAAGGUGAACUAUGCAUGAAUAGGGUGAAGCCAGAGGAAACUCUGGUGGAGGCUCGCAGCGGUUCUGACGUGCAAAUCGAUCGUCAAAUUUGUGCAUGGGGGCGAAAGACCAAUCGAACCUUCUAGUAGCUGGUUCCUG